AUCGAACGCUGGCGGCAGGCCUAACACAUGCCAGUCGAACGGUAACAGGAAGAAGCUUGCUUCUUUGCUGACGAGUGGCGGACGGGUGAGUAAUGUCUGGGAAACUGCCUGAUGGCGGGGGAUAACUACUGGAAACGGUAGCUAAUACCGCAUAACGUCGCAAGACCAAAGAGGGGGACCUUCGGGCCCCUUGCCAUCGGAUGUGCCCCGAUGGGAUUAGCUAGUAGGUGGGGUAACGGCUCACCUAGGCGACGAUCCCGAGCUGGUCUGAGAGGAUGACCAGCCACAUGGGAAAUGAGACACGGUACAGACUCCGACGGGAGGCAGCAGGGGGGAAUAUUGGAGAAUGGGCGCAAGCCGGAUCCAGCCAUACCGCGUGGGUGAAGAAGGACUUUGGGUUGUAAAGCCCUUUUGUUGGGAAAGAAAAGCAGCAGGUUAAUACCCCGCUGUUCUGACGGUACCCAAAGAAUAAGCACCGGCUAACGUCGUG
rnacentral:rRNA from 1 species